rnacentral:rRNA from 1 species
GGCGUCGAGCGGCGAACGGGUGAGUAACGCGUGGGAAUCUACCUUACGGCGGGGGACAACGUGUGGAAACGCACGCUAAUACCGCAUACGCCUUACGGGGGAAAGCGGGGGACCUUCGGGCCUCGCACUAUUGGAUGAGCCUAUGUCUGAUUAGCUAGUUGGUAGGGUAAAAGCCUACCAAGGCGACGAUCAGUAGCUGGUUUGAGAGAAUGAUCAGCCACACUGGGACUGAGACACGGCCCAGACUCC